rnacentral:rRNA from 1 species
UCAGGACGAACGCUGGCGGCGUGCCUAAUACAUGCAAGUCGAACGGUCUUUCUAUGGAAGCUUGCUUCCACUGAGAAGAUAGUGGCGAACGGGUGAGUAACACGUGGGUAACCUGCCCAUAAGAGGGGGGAUAACAUCCGGAAACGGGUGCUAAUACCGCAUAGUUUUCUUGAUCGCAUGAUCGGGAAAGGAAAGACGGCCUUUGUGCUGUCGCUUAUGGAUGGACCCGCGGCGUAUUAGUUAGUUGGUGAGGUAACGGCUCACCAAGACGAUGAUACGUAGCCGACCUGAGAGGGUGAUCGGCCACAUUGGGACUGAGACACGGCCCAAACUCCUACGGGAGGCAGCAGUAGGGAAUCUUCCGCAAUGGACGAAAGUCUGACGGAGCAACGCCGCGUGAGUGAAGAAAGGUUUUCGGAUCGUAAAACUCUGUUGUCAGAGAAGAACAAGUUGGAGAGUAACUGCUCCAGCCUUGACGGUAUCUGACCAGAAAGCCACGGCUAACUACGUGCCAGCCGCAGC